CAUCCUCACGAAAAAGGCAAACAUCAAGCAUCUGAUGAAGGAACUAUCAGAGCUCAAAUCCCAACUGGCUGUGGCAGAGGAGUCUUUGCUAGCCAUUCAAGGCGAGAUGGACACUUUGAAAGACACAGAAAAAGAGGAAGACACAGGUCCCCAGGAGGCAUUGCAAGUCGCCCCAAGCCAAGCAAAAGCUCCCAAGAAGGCACCCAAGACAAAAAGGAAUGGUGGAGAAACAAUUACCCAACAGCCUUCUCAUGUCCGAAUUAAAGCUGAAAAUACACCUACCAUAGUUGGAGAGUCACAUAUGGUCAUUGGUCUCAGACGAUCUACGAGAAUAGCUACCAAGAAGAGCUGCGUGGAGAAUAAGCCUGUUUUAAGAAAAACUCGCCCUGUCAAAGCAAGCAUUUCACUUUGAGAAUUUUUUUCUCCACUUUUCAUGAAACUUUUGAGUUUUAAGGAGUUGUUUUCCACUGCUUGUUUGCUACUGUGGUUAGGUUUGCAUCCAGUUGACAACAGAUUUUAAUGCAGAUAUUCAAAAGUCCGCACAGAAACAUUAUAUGCAUUUUUCCCAGCAGACGUGCUUUCAUCAAACUGACUUUGUAGCGGAUAAAAUGUUGUGCGUGACCAUGCACAUAACACUUUUGCACUUAAGUUUUCAUGUACAGAAUAAAAUAAAACAGAAGUUUUAAUGUUUCCAUAGCAUUUUCAAUUCUAUGGAUGGUUUUGUCACACAAACUGCAAUAAAUGGCAUACUUGCCCAACCUG